GACCGACAUUUGGUGCUAUGAUGAUAUCGGGACAGAAGGCCGGACAACUUGCUCUUAAGGCUUUGGGGCUGCCAAAUGCUAUUGAUGGAACUAACGUUGGAAACCUAAGCCCGGAGCUGGUCUUAGCCGCUGCUGAUUCAGCUGAAACCGUAGAUGCUUAAAAUCAAAAGGUUUUAACUUAAGAAAAAUUUCCCUUGAUCCUUCGGAUGUUGAAGGAGUGCAAUAAAGGAGUUUAGGUGUUUAAGUCUUGAACUUUUUCUGGUGUCUUUGUUUCUUUGUUUCCUCUUGUCAAUGAAAAUGUGUUUCUUCUGUGUAAAAUAUCUUAUCCGUUCAUUCGUAAUGCGUAUGUUCUCGUUCUUCUCCUUCUUUGUGGCUGUAGUACAAGCAGCUUUCUAGUUGUCCUUGGCAUGUUCAGUUUUGUAGCAAGUCAAAAUAUGUCUGAAUGUUAGGUUUCGAAUCUUUAGAUUAUAAUAGCUUCUCUUAUUGCAGGACAUAAGCUUCAUGUUCUGAGGACUAAAUUUAGAAUUAUGAGUUAUUUUCUUUUCUCUUCCUUUCUCUUGCAUCCUAAGUAAACCUGAGGAACAAUGAAGAUACAAAACAUUAUUCUGUUCCUAACGGACUGUUGUUGUUCCUUUUACUACCAACUAUCAUAAACUUGGUUUUGAUAUGAGAUGGAUUCCGGGAGGAGAUGGAUUCUAUAAGAGGUUUUUCUUCAAUGGUGAAUAAUGUGAGCUUCAUAAGAAGAUUAGUAUUGAAUGUCGGAUUCUUGUCCUCGAUUCUGAUUCUUAUUGUAACAUUUCUUUUGAUCAUCAGAUAGAUUUAGCAGUCUAGAAUCUGUAACAAAAAAAAGUCUAUAGUUUCUCUGCUUAUGAAUGAACAAAGAGUUUUAUGAUUUUAGAUUCAGAGAACAGAGGAAAACUGUAAAAUAGAAAGAAAACAAAUGUUUACAUUUCUUUUAUGAACUGUAAAAUAUAUACUGAUGUCUGACCUGGAAUUCAAAUACUCCAUCCUUAUUUACAUAUAUAAUCCGGCUUAGAAGUGCAACAAUGAGUUUAGAAAUGACAUCGGUGAUAAUCCUUUUUUGUGAACAUGGUUUUGUGAAACAAAGAUUACAAACAUGAAUUUGUUGUAUGAACAGUUUACAACGAGAAGUUGUUGUGUAAGUUGGGCUGCAUGGUUUCUUUUCUUCAUUACCACCACCCAAGGAAUCGUUAAAUCUCUGACCAUUCACUUUUUGUCGCCGGAUGUUGUGAGUUAUCAAAUAUGUAUAAUAACAUACAAAAACGCUGCUACUCAUGAAUCUUCUCCAAUGCUAUUUCUUGGCCUGAAAUACCAAAAAACAGAACAAUCAGAGACAAGAAGGAUCAUACAUAAACCCAUAAGAGUAUAAACUUGUGACAGAAUUUAAGAGAAAGGGUAAUUAAAAAACCAAACCUUUUUUAGAUACUUCUUGUGCAGUUUCAUUGCACCAGUACAGGCUUUCUUAGCAUCCAAGUUUCCGGUUAUGUCGUUUAAGAUCUGGGCAAAAUACACAGAUUAAAGAGGACUUCACUGGAUAUGGAAGGGCUUAAAGAAAAAUGAUCUCUCUGCAUUACCUUUACAACGUCAUCAAGUCCUCGAGCUUCGGUCAUUAACUUAGAACUCUUGUCUUUCAAAACACUAGCCACUAAGAAAACAGAAAUAGGCAAAGGACCUUCUGCACUUUUCCCUCCAUUCUUCAUGUUCUCUCUCUCGUACUUCCCACAUUGGUUUAUCGACUUCGGUUUACCUUUGGAAGAACCUUCGGUUCUCUCUCCCUCGAAUUGAGGCUCCUCAUAUAGAGAAUACAUUUCUGGGUCAUACUCUAAUGCCCACAUCAUCUGCUCAAUGCAAAAGAUCCCCGUAAUGGAUGUAUCACACUUUAUUAGUGUGCGGUUAAAGAACAAUGUUUCUGAGUUUAUGAGUUUAUAAAGAGACGAAGAAAAAGGUUACCUCCCAAAGGUACAAGGAGUCACAAAAAGAGAAUUCUCUUCGGAACUGAACCAUUAUCAUUCGAAUCGCAAAGAGAUAGUCACCUCCACCCAAGUUCUCUGCAUUUCAAGAUCCACAGUGGCUUUAAAGAUCUCUCUUGCUCAACCUGUAACGAUUAAUUAUACACUAAAAGUGAGAUGAGAAAGCUUUAGUAGAUACCUAAGUGAUGGUGAAGUUUGGGGUCAAUAAUCUGAGUGAUUGAAGCCAAAUGAGUAAGCUGUGCUUCGACUCCAACUGAUCUCCCCGUGUCCCGAAAAUUCCCUCGCUUUCAAUUUGAAAAAAAGAAGAAAUAGUUAAAUAUUAUCUGACUACAGAGAGAGUCAAGAAAAACUUAUAUGAACACAAAACAUAGAGGUAAGUCCGUAAGUACCAAUCGGCGCAUCAACCGUUCGAAACACCAAAAAGCAUCAGCUUCGUCUUCAAGAAGCAUAAUCAUAGGGGAACAAAGAUCACUCAUUCCUAGUCAGAAGAAACAGUAGAUAGAUCAAAACUUAAGAAUCAAUCAACUUUUCAGGGCUUGAACAAAGGAUAACCGUGUUCUUUCUUUAAAUUUCACUGCUUACCUUGGCAAUAACCAACGUCAUUGUCUAUCCACGCGUAAAGAGCUAGAAUAUCCCAGAGCUUAGACAAAUUCUCCUUUUUCUCAUAGAAUACCAAAGUCCUAUCUGUACGGUUUACAUCAAGACCUGAAAACAAGAGUUGACGCAAAUGAAUUGAAUGAUAUAUUGAAUUAUCUCUCUCAUAACUACUCUCUGUUGUGACCAAGUCCGCGCGAUCACUGACCUAUCUGAUGAAGUGUUAACAGCCAUUGAAUAACUUUCUUGUCCAAAGGUCCGCGGCUUGCAAGAUCUUUGAAGAAAUCCGAACCAUUUGCACCUGAGAUAAUAUUACAAUGCGUAAUUUACCAAGUUCUAGUGAAAGGUGAUUGUUCUACUGUUUUCUUGAGCAAAAGAUACAAAUUUUUACCUAAAUUUGUUUCUUGUAGUACAAUAGGAUCGUAAAUGGGUUCACCCUUGUUGGUAAUUACAGGUGCGGUAAUGAAUCCACCACUUCCGAUAACUGGAAACAUUUGUUUACAUUCCUCCUUCCAAGAAGCAUACUGCAAUCUGAAAGAAAAUAUCCAUACUUCAAAAAAAAAAAAAAAGAUAUAGUGCAAAGCGAAUGCAAGAUGAAUAAGAUCUUUCAUAAACUUAUAUAUGGGUGAAAAAGAACACCUUCUACGUUGUCGGAUUUGCUCUCUUUCUUCAAAUGUGCUCUUUGGAUCAUAACAACCAAGUAAGAAUUCCCAGACUUCUCCUCUAAUUGAUGGAUGGAUUCCCUAGACCAGUCAAGAAAGCAAACAACAGAACUGGAAUGAUAAGAAAACACAACUGAUACCGUGUACUCUUGAUUUCUUGAUUGAAAUGACAAAAAGGCAAGCAAGAGGAUUAAAAUGUAAGUGAUUUUUUUUGCAUGGCCAAAUUUAGUUAAUUUUGCAGUCUUUGGAAACAAUGUUUUUGAGACUUACCCCUCGUUGGAUUCGACUUAGAGUCUUGCCAAUAUCGAGGAACCCUUCUGUUGUAAAUGCAGCCUGCCAUUUUCUUACACUUAGAGUUUUACCAGGCUGCACAAACAAAAUUAAGCAAAACGGACAGGUAGUGUCAGCAAAUUGAGACUCUGUCGUUCUCUAAAACAUAAUCAUGUGAUGCUACUGAGCAUGAUCAGUGCUAGAAAGGUGAACCUAAACAAUCAGCAUCAGAAAAACAUUAACUCUAAGCAAGUCAUAGCACUAUUGAUGUAUCUGCAAUUCUCUAAACACAAUCAUGAGAAUAAUAAACCUAAAAGAGCACUAAAAUCAAUAAUCCCCAUUAUAUAUAAAUCAGCAUCAUAAGACAUAAACAUGUCAUAGCCUAAAUCAUAACUAGUAAAUGCUCUCAUCGGUAAAAGUUCCAAAUCGAAGAAGAAAAAAUCAGGCCAACAAUAAUAAAGCAAUGCUAAUAUUUUAGCUGAAAAAUUCAUUGCAAGGGAGAAAGAAGAAUCUAAGCAACAAGACAAAAGAAUCUGAAAGCUCCCAGGGAAUCGCAAACGCCAAUCUCAUUCAUUAAUAACGAAUCCAAUGGUGAACCAAAAUCCAAGAAAAAAAGAAGAAAUUAUUAGGGAAAGGGACAAACUUUGAUCUUGAAUUUGGUAUUGGGGACAUCAUUGCACUCAGGACGAAUCUGGUAAUAAGAAUCUGCUGGUUCUGCGAACGCUCCCCACAUUUUUUAGCUAAUUUUUUCAAUCCCCUCCCCAAAAACAAAUAAAAAUGAAAACUUUCCCGGGAAAAUCAAAUGAAAAAUCCAAACAAAAAAUGGGUUUUUUUUUUUCUACAAACAAGAUUGGAGAAGAAAGAAAGAAAAAAAACUGGAACCCUCUCAAAAGAUCAAUUCUUUCUUUGUCGAAUUUUUGGAGAAGAAAGAAAAGAAAAACAAAAAGAGAUCUUUAAGAGGGGUCCAGUUUUUGAGAUUAAAGAAAAGAUCAAAGACAGAACUUUUCUUUUUGGUUUGCAAUUAUUUUACUAAUCUAAUCUAAUUAAUCAUCAACCAUGUUUCGUUUUACAUUUUUUUAAAAUAAUUGAGUGGUCUCUGGAGAAGCAAUCAUUUUUGAUGGUGAUUAAGAGGUGUUGAUCGUUUGGUCAAGCUCAUCGAUCUUUCUUUAUUUAUCUUUCUCUCCUCCGUUUUUAGUAAACGAGACAAGGUUGCGUUUGUUGACAUAGUUUUUAGUUUAGUCAAUCGGUUUAUGAUUUGAUUUUGGUUUGAAGUUUUGGGUUUAGGGCAAACCGGGGUCAAGUUUAGGGCAAACCGGGGUCAAACCCUCUAUAUAAGAAAGAGUCUUAUGUAGAGGGUUUGAACCCCCGGUUUACUAGCUAAACCCUAAUUACUAGUUAACAUAACCGGAAUUCUAUACUUCAAUAGUUUGGUUUCCAUCCGAUUUGAAGCAAUUGUGUUGGAUGAUUUAGUUUUUGUUAGAACUAAAACCGGUGACAAAAUUAGCUUCUGUUUAAGUAUUUUUGAUUUGGUUCGGUCUUUAUUUGUUUUUUAUUCUCCAAAACCCUAGAAAACUAGGUUUGAUAAACAUUGGAAGAAACUAAUUAGGUCACAUAAACCACAUAGUAGAUUUUUCGCCGAGUGAAGUUGUGUCUUGUUUUGACGUAUUCAACAACUCCGACAUUAGUCGUUAGAGAGGUUUAAGUCACUCAUCGUUUCAGCCAAACGACAAAAGUAGACUAAGCCACCACAAGACUUAAAAAAACAACUAAUUUUAUUUAGGAACAAAAUAAUGUAAUUGUAUGCAAGCGAUGUCGUUGAUAAAGAAAAAAAAAGUAUGUAAGCGAUGUAAACUAUAUUAUGAAAAAAAUAACAGAAAAAAAAAUAAAAGAAAACUAAACAAUGAAACAACUAGAUAGGCAUUGUCGAAUCGUCCUAUACAAUCACCAAUUACGCCUGAUCCUCUCUUGUUGCCCAAUAUGCGUAAAAUACAUAGAUGGCGAAACAUAUAAAGCCACCAAAAACGCCAAAAAAACCUAUAAACGCCAUUAGUCCCAAGCCUUCCAUUCUCCCUUCUCCUUUUUGUGUGUAUACUGUAUUGAAAGCCGAAAGAAAAAUAUAAUCAAUCAAAAAGAAGAGGUUUUAUAUUAAUAAUUAGCUUCGAACUAUAAGGAAAAGUUCGAUACUAGUGCUGACCAAAAAAAUGGAAACUUAGAUACGACUAGUGAAUAAUAUAUCUUACUAUUACCUCUUGUAUCUAAAGAAAUGGCAAAUUAUAUAGCGAGUAAGAAGAUUGACCUUUUAGGGAAAAAAAAAGAGAUUUACCUUUAUAAAUAAAUGGAAACUAUAUAAAAGUUCUUAAACACGCACGUACAUUCAAUAUAUAUGCAUAUCUUAAACAUGACAUGUUAGGGUUAAAUGUUUCCAAUUGGGAAUCUUGUAUUAAAUAUACAAAAUUCGGAAAAGUUUAUAGUAGAAAGGCAUGUCAUAUACCCAAAGAUUUAGUGAGUCAUAAUUCCAAAGGUUAUUUAUGUGUCGCAGGCUAAGAAAAUAGAAAGCCGGUAAUAGUUAGCAAUCCAAAGAUGAAAGAUACAUGAAACAUAAGGAAAACUUUUGAAUUGGAAUAUCAUAACUAAUGAUUUUGAGUCUAACAAAUGUUAACGUUACAUACACAAGAAUUUAAUAUCAUAAGAGAAAAAAAAAAAAAUUGUCACUAACAAUUCUCUUUAGAAAAUAUUCUGACCUAUGUAGAGUCUAAAUAGUAAUCGGAAAAUCUGACUGAAUCUCUCUGAAUUGUUAAAUCGAGUUAAAAUUUUUAGUGAUUUUAAGCUGAAUUUAGUUGAAUUUAUACAUUUGUAAAUGGUGACGGUUGAAUCUAGCUAGCUCAUUUUUUUUUGUGAUUUUUGACAAAAUUUUAAAAAAUAAUGAAAACUUUAACUAAAAAAAUAUCAUUCAAUAAUUAUGAAUAUUAAUAGAAUAACUAAAAAUUAUGUACACAAAAUAGAUAAAAUUAUAUAAUGGUCUAGUUAACUUUUAUAUCAAUAAAUAAAUACUAAAAUUAAUACUAUAUAUAAAUAAGAUAUUGGUUAGCAAAAUUGAGUUAGUCUUCCAUAUUAAAAAUUUGAGCUAUUAAAAUUAUGUAAAUAAUUAAUAAAAACCUUUGUCAAAGCAUUAUUGAAAAAUUAAUUUCAAAAAUUAACAUGAUAAUAAAAUAUAGAUUAUCUAAUUGAUUUUUUUUUUCUAUUGUUCUCUAGUUGUUUUAAUCAAUACUAUGAUGAGGAUGAGUGUUUGAGUAAGAAAAUUAAGAAAAUUUUGAUAUUUUAAAUAAUAGUUUUAGCAUAGUUAUGAGUUGUUUUGCAAAAUUUUAAAAAUUCAUUUUAAAUUAUCUAAAAGUUAUUAAUAUUAUCCAAAAUUAUUUAUAAUUAUCCAAAAAUGAAUUCGAAUCUUGUUUAUUUUGGUAGUGAUUUUAUGUAUCUGAAUUAUUCAUAUAUUGUAUCCAUAAAUCUGACUCAUUUUAAAAUUAAAAUUUGAUUUGUAAUUUCAAAAAGAUUUUAUUUUAAGUUGUGUACUCGUUAUUAUCCGAAUUUUUAUCAAAAAUGAACAUAUCUACGUAUUAUUAGUUAGUGUUGAAAAAAUCUUUUAAAUCUGACUGAAUUUAGUUUUAUGCAAAUAGUAACUGUAAAAUUGUUGAAUUUAGUUGAAUAUGACUGAAUGUUUUUUGUUUUUUAUGUGUUACUAUUUAAACCCGUAGUUUAUUUGUACCUCUUACCUAGCUAGCUUUCUCACGUUGUGGCUUUUAAUCUGGUCUGGAGAAAAAAAAAUAUAACUAUGCACGGUCACCUUGUGACCUACGGCGGUUAGGUGAGUACCACAUUUGUCAAC
rnacentral:lncRNA from 1 species